rnacentral:rRNA from 1 species
AGUGAACGCUGGCGGUAGGCCUAACACAUGCAAGUCGAACGGCAGCACAGUAAGAGCUUGCUCUUACGGGUGGCGAGUGGCGGACGGGUGAGGAAUACAUCGGAAUCUACUUUUUCGGGGGGGAUAACGUAGGGAAACUUACGCUAAUACCGCAUACGACCUACGGGUGAAAGCAGGGGAUCUUCGGACCUUGCGCGAUUGAAUGAGCCGAUGUCGGAUUAGCUAGUUGGCGGGGUAAAGGCCCACCAAGGCGACGAUCCGUAGCUGGUCUGAGAGGAUGAUCCGCCACACUGGAACUGAGACACGGUCCAGACUCCUACGGGAGGCAGCAGUGGGGAAUAUUGGACAAUGGGCGCAAGCCUGAUCCAGCCAUACCGCGUGGGUGAAGAAGGCCUUCGGGUUGUAAAGCCCUUUUGUUGGGAAAGAAAAGCAGCAGGUUAAUCCCCCGCUGUUCUGACGGUACCCAAAGAAUAAGCACCGGCUAACUUCGUG